UACGAAGGGGGCUAGCGUUGCUCGGAAUCACUGGGCGUAAAGCGCACGUAGGCGGCUUCUCAAGUCAGGGGUGAAAUCCUGGAGCUCAACUCCAGAACUGCCUUUGAUACUGAGGGGCUCGAGUCCGGGAGAGGUGAGUGGAACUGCGAGUGUAGAGGUGAAAUUCGUAGAUAUUCGCAAGAACACCAGUGGCGAAGGCGGCUCACUGGCCCGGUACUGACGCUGAGGCGCGAAAGCUAGGGGAGCAAACAGG
rnacentral:rRNA from 1 species